GCCCGUUUAGCUCACCGGGUAGAGCAGCCGAUUUGUAAUUGGCAGGUGGCAGGUUCAAGUCCUGCAACCGGCACUA
rnacentral:tRNA from 1 species